rnacentral:siRNA from 1 species
UGUGUCCUCCCUGUCGUUGUCUAC